CCCCUUGCGCCCUGCCCCUGCGGCCCCUAUAUUCCCUCUUGCCCGGGGCGACCCGGACUAUGGCGAUAAACGCACCUGUAAUAGACGGCUCGGACCCGGGGGCGGUACCCGGCGGCUCCACCAACACCCCGGCAUUGCGGGAGGACGGGGCCGAAACAGGAUCGACGGACGUUCAAAGAGGCCAGCUUUCGCUCGGUGAGGUACCACCGUUAUCGGUCCAAGAUCACAGUUGCCAAUGACAACCGUGCUCCGGUGGCGCUGGCUGCGUAAGCGGCUCGCAAUACCAAACACAAGCCCCUGCGCUUAGCCGCGCAGGGCGGGGUCCGCAGGCACCUGGCAACAGAAGCCUGCACU
rnacentral:tmRNA from 1 species